CGUUGAAAAUUUCAUCUAUUUCUACGGUAAAAAAUUGACGUGGGUUACGAAGUAGCCAAACAAUUACAUGUGGUGUACCACAUGUACCUUAUGCUGACAUAUAACGAUCAAUUUUAAAUAGUAAAAAUGGAUGAAAUUUUUAAUA
rfam:Gossypium raimondii Chr10_contig_22, whole genome shotgun sequence.